GAUGAACGCUGGCGGCGUGCCUAAUACAUGCAAGUCGAGCGAACAGACGAGGAGCUUGCUCCUCUGACGUUAGCGGCGGACGGGUGAGUAACACGUGGAUAACCUACCUAUAAGACUGGAUAAACUUGGGGAACCGGGGGUAAAAACGGAUUAAAAUUUUGACCGCCUGGUUUAAUAGGUGAAAAAGGGUUUUGUGUUACCUAUAAGAUGAUCCGCGCCGCAUUAGCUAGUUGGUAAGGUAACGGCUUACCAAGGCGACGAUGCGUAGCCGACCUGAGAGGGUGAUCGGCCACACUGGAACUGAGACACGGUCCAGACUCCUACGGGAGGCAGCAGUAGGGAAUCUUCCGCAAUGGGCGAAAGCCUGACGGAGCAACGCCGCGUGAGUGAUGAAGGUCUUCGGAUCGUAAAACUCUGUUAUUAGGGAAGAACAAAUGUGUAAGUAACUAUGCACGUCUUGACGGUACCUAAUCAGAAAGCCACGGCUAACUACGUG
rnacentral:rRNA from 1 species